rnacentral:lncRNA from 1 species
CCCAAGUGAGCAAGGACGAAAUGAAUGGAGCAAGGACCUAGAGAAAGUGAGAAGCUAAAGGAUGAGGAGCCCAGAUGGGGCGUCCUUACUCCCAGUCUUUCCAGAUGUUCUUCCCACUCCUCAACUGCUCCUGGCUCAGAAACCCUGCACACCUGGAAGAAAGUGAGAACCAGUUUUUCAACAAACACAUUGCACAGACUUAUUGUGAACCCCGGGUGGAAUCAAGCAUCGGAGGAAGAGAACGUGGGUCUUGCUGUGUCCCUAGGCUGGAGUGCAGUGGUGCAGUCUCAAUUAUGCCAGAUGGCUCUGAGGUCCAAGUAAAAGAUAAUAUUUGCAACCAACUCACUGGAGUUGACCAUCAAAACUCUUUUCCAGGUGGAAAAGCACCCUGAAUCCAGCUUCCUGCUAUGAAUGAAUACUGAGCUUGGGUUGGUGGAAAUUGAUUUUCGAGAUAAAGAAUCCAGCCAGGACUGUGAAGCCCCAGGGAAUGGCUGCACUUCAAGUCAGAAGGAGCCUGGGUCCCUGAAUCAUCAUGUGGAAGGCUCUCCACCCAGUUCAAUGGUGCAAUGGACCACAAGCAGGAACUUAAUUUAGAAUGUGCUUAUUUUGUUAGAUUUUGUAAUUAAAAAAUGGAUCCCACUCUGACUGAAUCAGAGAUGUUGAAGUCAUUGAUCUGGGAGGGUAUGUUCCUGGGAGUGGGUGGCUGAGGUGAGAUUUCAAACAAGGUUGUUGAGGAAGAGGAGUUCAAGUGACUGAGAGGACAUAUUGUUGGAUAAAUUGUGCGUGCGUGUGUGUGUGUGUGUGUGUGUGUGUUGAAAUCACCAAGAAUAGGGAAAGAAGUGUAUAAGAGAGUGUGGCAGUGAGCCCAGAGCUAAAAGAAAUCAUGAGCAGGGAGUAAUUCACGAGCAGAAAGUAGAAGCAACGAGAGGCAGUUAAUGAGAGAAGCAGCUGAGGGAUUUUAGCAAGGGAUGGG